rnacentral:misc_RNA from 1 species
GGAAAACUAUGGAAUCAUUAUUCAUUCAAAAAUCUGAGUCACUAGCAUAAAAUGUGUAAUGGCUGAUUAAGCUGGUAACUAAAAACAUUUUAUCAUUCAUUUACAAUGCUUCUUUUUGUGCAACUAGUUUCUAUUAUAUGAAUAUCAUUCAUCUACACUGACCAAGAGUAUACAUAAACAGGUAUGAGGUGAGAUUAUUGUGAAGCUCUGCGUUGAAAAGCCUCAAAUGAACCAAGUGAAGUUGCUUUUCUAUGAAACUUUCCUGUUCUAGAGUCCUUAAGAACUUCGGCCAUCUUCAACAAUUCAGAUUUCUCAGUGUAAUAUGGGUCUUGUUCUAGUUGAUUUUCAGUUGAAAAAUCAGUAGCAGAUAUCCUACCUGACGAAAAUCUCCUAUGCCCAUAAAAGAAUCCAGAGUGACUAUUUCUCCGACGAAUUUCAAUAUUCUUUGUGUCUUCCAUCUUUGCACUCUUCAUUCUUUGGAUAUCUGCAGAAUGUCUAGAUGAGUGCCUAGAUAAAUCUGGAGACAGACUUCGUAAUCUAUUAGAUUGUUGAUCACCUGCAGCAUCAGUUGCUGUUGAAAUACUUGA